ACGCGACAUUCUGACCCGAAGCAAAGCACAACGGUAUCCAGAAUUUCAGAUCCGACCCGACGAUCCGUGUCGGAGUCGAUGGCGGCGCCGGCGAGCCGCCGCCGCCGCGAACCUUCUUCCCGCUCGUGGCCGCUUCUGUUCGUCGCCAUCCUCGCCGUCCACUCGGUGGCCAUCUACCUCUUCACCCGUGGCUUCCUCCUCACCCGCACCGAGCUCGACGUCCACAGCCACCGGGACGACCGCACCGGCGUCUCCCCCGGGUGCUCCUCCUGGCCCCGGCCAGCCGUAGACCGCCUCGUCAUCGUGGUCCUCGACGCCCUCAGGUUCGAUUUCGUGGCACCGAGCACAUUCUUUCCAGAGAAGCAGCCAUGGAUGGACAAGUUGCAGGUCCUGCAGAAGCUGGCUGCUGAGGAGAAGAACUCUGCCAGGAUCUUUAAAGCGCUAGCCGACCCGCCAACCACCAGCCUUCAACGUCUGAAGGCUCUCACCACGGGUGGUCUCCCUACCUUUAUCGAUGUCGGCAACAGCUUUGGAGCGCCAGCAAUAGUAGAAGACAACAUAAUGCACCAGCUGGUAAAAAAUGGAAAGAGGGUAGUCAUGAUGGGAGAUGAUACAUGGACACAGUUAUACCCAGAGCACUUCAACAAGUCAUUCCCGUACCCUUCUUUUAAUGUUAAAGAUCUUGAUACGGUAGACAAUGGUGUUAUUGAGCACUUGCUUCCAUCAUUACGUGAAAAUGAUUGGGAUGUUCUUAUUGCACAUUUCCUUGGUGUGGACCAUGCAGGACAUAUAUUCGGUGUUGACUCUACCCCAAUGAUCCAAAAGUUGGAGCAAUACAAUAAAAUCCUAGAGGAUGUAAUUGACACGUUGAAAAGUCUAUCAACACCUGGUGGUCCCCAUGAAAAUACUUUACUUCUUGUAAUGGGUGAUCAUGGCCAAACCCUUAACGGUGAUCAUGGAGGGGGAACUUCUGAAGAGGUUGAAACAUCGCUUUUCGCAUGGAGUUCAAAGACACCACCUGAUGCUGUGUUGUCCGUUCUUGGUGCAAAUUCAUGCAAUUUUGAUCUGUAUGGGGCAGAAGUGUGCAUCAGCACUAUGCAGCAGCUUGAUUUUGCAGCAACUGUAUCAGCACUACUCGGUGUACCUUUUCCUUUUGGAAGCAUUGGACGUGUGAACCCUGAAUUGUAUGCUUUGAGUGCUGGAACAUGGGAUGAUCAAAAGAUGGGCGUCGAUGCUUGUACACCGCAGAAUGACCUAGAAGCAUGGAAAAGGAGAUAUGCUGAAGCUCUUUGUGUAAAUAGUUGGCAGGUAAAGAGAUACAUUGAUCAAUAUUCUGGCAGUUCUAUUAUUGGAUUUUCAGCCGAAUAUCUGCACCAUGUUGCAGAGCUGUAUUCGAAAGCUCAGGCAAACUGGUCAGUGGCUCUGAGGUCUACAUGUCCAUCAGAAACAGCUGAAGAAGAAUUUAAAGCGAGCUCAAGUUCUCCUUUGCAGUUGCAAAUUGAUGCAUACUCUGACUUCUUGGAAAGCUUUGCAAAGCUUGCUCGCUCUGCAUGGACAGAGUUUGAUUUAUGGUCGAUGGGCAUCGGUCUUUUACUUAUGAUACUGUCAGUUAUCACUCAGGCAUGUGUACUUGUGAAGCUGAAUACUAUAUGUCAACCAUCAGAUCAGGAAAGUACUAGUUCAAGAGCCAUUCCAAAAUUAUCAUUUGCUUUUAUGUUGGUCGCGAUUCGAGCAGCAAGUAUACUAUCCAACAGCUAUAUAUUGGCAGAAGGUAGAGUUGCGAACUUUCUUUUGGCUACGAGUUGCAUUGCCGGUGUGUGGCACUCAGCCACAAAAGGAAACUUCAGCAUUGAAGAGUUUGUUUUUCUUCUUCUGAAUAUUUUUGCACGAUUUGGAAUUGAGUUUGGGAUGUCAAAACAAAUUGCUGGGCCAACAGUUACAAAAGACCACCCAGUGAGCAUUAUUUUGGACAUGUUUGGUUCCAGUUUCUGCAAUGGUCUCAUGGAUAUAUUCCCCAUCAUAUCUCUUGCCUUGGUGGCCUACAUUGUAUUGAAGUUCAUUACCUAUGCAAUCUAUCAGAGAUUCUUAAAGUACUUUAUUAUGUCUGGAACCAUCUUGAGCUAUAUAUUUAUAGCAAAUCAUUGGGCUUCUGAAAGUACUUUGUUCUUUCAUAGUAAAGCUAUUCGAGAUAUUGGAAUAAGUUUAGCUCCUCGUUUUGUUUAUGCUAUUGGAGGUUUUUCACUGGCAAUAUCUGCACUCUGUCGAUUGUUUGGCGCAAUUGAUACUUUGAGGUUGAACGAAAGGAUAACUAGUUUAUCAGCAGCCAUGUUGUGUUCAUGGAGCCCGACUAUCUUGAUCUUGUUGGGAAGGCAAGGUUCUUUUGUGGCUUUAAUUUGCAUCACUGGAGCUUGGUGUAUAAUAAUGCUACAGCAGAAAUAUCAGAAAGACUUGAAACUUGACAUAAUUGGUGUCGCUAACCCAGUAUCGGUAACACAGUGGAGCCUUUUUGCAGUUUGUCUAUUUUAUCUGACUGGUCACUGUCCAAGAGAUAAUGCAUGCCCACUUUUCUCUACUGGUAUAUGGGGUGUACCUUUGACGGCCUCCGCUAUGGUGCUGCCUUCGUUGGGUUUGAUCAUUUCCAUAUUAUCCGCCAAGGGCUUCUUCUUUCCAUUGAUACCUUUGGUGUUUCUCACAUCCUUCCAGUUCUCAGUCUACCAUUUAUUGCCGUGCAUUGUUAUAAUAAGGCAUCCAAGAAAAGCAAAGUGAAGGAUGUCACUACCAACAUUCUAAUACAGGUCCAUUUGAUGUAUGGUCUAAUUACAGCUAUCGCUACAACACUUACAAUCAUAUGUGUGACUAUUCAAAGGCGCCACUUGAUGGUUUGGGGUUUGUUUGCACCAAAAUAUGUAUUUGACGCUAUCGGACUACUCCUGACAGAUUUCCUAAUAUGUCUGGCAUCUCUCUUCUACAGCUGAUGUUGCAUCCCCCCCCCCCCCCCCCCCCCUAGUUACAGAUGCUAUACCUUUUCUUAGUUCAUUACAACUAGUGCCGAUCUUUCAAUGUUCCAGUCACUGGUGUAAAAUCAUGUACAUUGAAUUAGAUUUACAGAGCAUUCAUGGUUUGGUAAUGAGCAAGCAGAAAUGAUAGUUCAAGUUCCCCAAAUGUUUUGUCCUUUGAAUCCACAAAGAUGCAUAAUCUUGAGUGUGGUUCCACAAAUAUUUAUUUUAAUUUUGUUAUAGUGUAGUCAGGUUAAUAUCA